AUGUUUAGGAUCCUAAAUUUAUGUAAUAAAACCUUUAUGUCCAUGUAUAUGUGAAUCUUAUAUUUUUCUUUCUAUGUAUGAAACUUAAGUUUACGUUACUUCUAGGUUAAUUUAUAAUUUGACUAAUCAAUUUUGAGGACGAAAUUACUUUUAAGGGUGGGAUAGUUGUAAUACCCAUAAAAAUAAAAAUAAAGAAAUAAAAAUUACUACAUAAUUAAACGUAAGAUCAAAUAAACAAAUGUUACCUAGUUUCCUCGUAUUAGUGGUUUUUUUAUUAAAACAAAGUAUAAGUAAAGUAAAUAUUUAUAAUAUAAAGUUUUACAAAGUAAUCAACUAAAAUAAAAAUCAUGAAAUAAAAUUUGUGUAGUGUGAUAUAAGAGGUUAGUAUGUGUCAUAAACUCAAAAUCUCAAGACAAAUAUGUGUAUAGGACAAGGACAGAAGGAAAAUUACUAAAAGAAGAAAAGAAAGAAAACCAGUAUAAGCAACAAAAAUCCACAAAUCAAGGAAGAGAACGUGUAGGUAAAUUAGAAAAUCAACGUGGUGAACCGUUAAAACUUCAAAGGGUGUCCCAUCCUAGAAUUUUCCAUCUGUCCCUCUCUACCUUUGUAACCAAGAAAAGUGGAGUAUAAAGAAGUCAUGUUGUAUCCCUAUCAAGAUCACACCUCAAAAUAUAAAUUCGACAAAGCUUCUGUCGAUUCGCUUAAUAGAACUCCACCGUGAUCGACGUCACAAAGUAACCGAUCAUUCCCUAUCAACCUGUUCAUUUUCCGUUGAAUUAUUAGCAACGCCGGUGACUGUAUAUCAACCCUGUUGGAUGAAACCAAUACCCAUGAUCAACAUCACCUCCCCUCCACCUUUGAACCACCGUAACCGACUUUUCCGGCAACCUCUCGUUAUCCCGAUCUUCUCAAACAGAAGGUAAAUCUUGCAAACAAUCGCUCGUGAACAAAGUGAUUUUGCUUUGAAACAUUAAAGGUUCACAGGUUACUUCGGCGGGUUAAAGAGAGAAGAAUAAAGCGUAGGACUAAAUCUGAAGAUGUUAGUUAAUCAAGUCGAAUGUGUUCGCUUGGAUAUUAACCUUAAGUUUAGUUGUCGUGUGGUUGUAUCCUUGUCAAAUAAAUAAAUGGAAUUAUGACUUUUGUUUAUGAUAACAAUGUUAUUGUGACACGUCAGCCCUUCCGGGUUGGGGU